rnacentral:rRNA from 1 species
AGACCGGUGCCAGCCGCCGCGGUAAUACCGGCGGCUCGAGUGGUGGCCACUAUUACUGGGCUUAAAGCGUCCGUAGCUGGAUUGUUAAGUCUCUUGGGAAAUCCACCGGCUCAACCGAUGGGCGUUCAGGAGAAACUGGCAAUCUAGGGACCGGGAGAGGUGAGAGGUACUCCAGGGGUAGGAGUGAAAUCCUGUAAUCCUUGGGGGACCACCUGUGGCGAAGGCGUCUCACUAGAACGGCUCCGACAGUGAGGGACGAAAGCUGGGGGAGCAAACCGGAUUAGAUACCCGGGUAGUCCCAGCUGUAAACGAUGCGCGUUAGGUGUAUCGGUGACCACGAGUCAUCGAGGUGCCGAAGGGAAACCGUGAAACGUGCCGC